UAAGUCAGCCACGAAUAGGCUAUCCCAACUAACGGCGGGAAAGACUCCACGGAGGGUGUAAGACCCGUGUGGGCGCGUGUUAAAGCUGUGUGGGCUCGGCCUCCAUUCCCUGAGAGUCGCGUUGCUUGAGCAUGCAGCGCUAAGCAGGUCGUAAACUCGAUCUAAGGCUAAAUAUUUCCACAGAACCGAUAGCGAACAAGUACCGUGAGGGAAAGUUGAAAAGCACUCUGGAGAGAGAGUCAAAAGACCGUGAAACCGCUCAGAGUAUAAGCCCAUGGCAGCUUGGAAGGCAUAUCGCUAGCGGGGCAUCGGUCUCCCUUCGCGGGGAGCUGGUGUUACCUUGCUUCUGUUGUGGCUCGUCAUGGUAGGGGGGUCAGGUCCACAUCCCGCCGUCGUGUGGGGGGUUCUUGGGUGUGUUGUGGUUUCUCGGUUGGCUUCGGCUUUCCGGGGGGCUCUUCGUGCUCGGUUCCCUUUUAGACACGGACGUUCAGACUCAGUUGCAAGACGCGAUAACCAGCCCACCACGGCACGUUGUGAGGUCACCCACAGGCUCGACUUUCGAUCGUGAGCCUUGACGCCGAGCAAGUCCAAUGCGUGUCGCAGAGGUUCCUAACCAGGCAAAGUUGCCAGGAUCGUGGAACGACACGCGCUCAACAGUCAGGUUCGGGCGGAGACAGAGUUCUGGUACGAUCCUCUUGCGACGAGCCGGCUUCUGGCCGACGUCCGAUGCUCAGGUCUCCCGCAUGUGCCGCGGGAGAUCGCCUUGACGGUCUGGA
rnacentral:rRNA from 1 species